rnacentral:tRNA from 1 species
GCGUCUAUGGUCUAGUGGUAUGAUACGAGCUUCCCAAGCUUGGGAUCCGGGUUCGAUUCCCGGUAGGCGCA